rnacentral:rRNA from 1 species
UACGUAGGGGGCAAGCGUUAAUCGGAAUUACUGGGCGUAAAGCGUGCGCAGGCGGUUGUGCAAGACAGAUGUGAAAUCCCCGGGCUUAACCUGGGAACUGCAUUUGUGACUGCACGGCUAGAGUGUGUCAGAGGGGGGUAGAAUUCCACGUGUAGCAGUGAAAUGCGUAGAUAUGUGGAGGAAUACCGAUGGCGAAGGCAGCCCCCUGGGAUAACACUGACGCUCAUGCACGAAAGCGUGGGGAGCAAACAGG